ACUAGAUGGCUAGAAUGUGCCGGCCUUCAACGUGCCACUUUUCUUACGUCAAUAAAGCCCAAAAUCCUUUUAACUUGGAAUUUUUUAUCUAUACACUCUGACCUGCUCCUUUGUGAUGUGGCAGAGCAAGACUGCUACUUGCAUGGAUUCUUCCACUCUGAGGGCCCAAAGGUGAAGCAAAGCAGCUGGGAAAAGCGGCCUUGCUUAUCUGGUCCUCUCUAGUCAUGAUGGCUGUGAAUAACGAUUGCUUAUAAUCCAAACUUUGGGGAAGAUACCACUUUGGGAAAGGCUGGAAAUAAAGAGAUAAAAGAUUUGAGGGACCUCAAAGAGAUAUUUCUCCCCAGAGAAUCAUGAUCCUUCUUCCUUGAGAGAAGGCUGAACCCCAAACAGCCAGAUGAGGCCAUACAGUAAGAAGAUUGUGGAACUCCACUCACAAGGAAAUGGAGUAAAAGGGCAGAUUGUAUAGCUCCUUUUAUUCCAUCUCCUGUUCUUUGGAAUGGUCACCCAGAGACUGGC